CCAAUAGCGUAUAUUAAAGUUGUUGCAGUUAAAAAGCUCGUAGUUGAAUUUUAGGCCUGGCCGGGCGGUCCGUCUUUGGCGAGUACUGUUCUGUGUCGGGUCUUACCUUCUGGUGAACCGGCAUGUUCUUUAUUGAGUGUACCGGGGAGCCAGGACCAUUACCUUGAAAAAAUUAGAGUGUUUAAAGCAGGCAUUUGCUUGAAUAGAUUAGCAUGGAAUAAUAGAAUAGGACGUUGGUUCUAUUUUGUUGGUCUAGGACCACCGUAAUGAUUAAUAGGGAUAGUUGGGGGCAUUAGUAUUCAAUUGUCAGAGGUGAAAUUCUUGGAUUUAUUGAAGACUAACUAUUGCGAAAGCAUUUGCCAAGGAUGUUUUCAUUAAUCAAGAACGAAAGUUAGGGGAUCGAAGACGAUCAGAUACCGUCGUAGUCUUAACCAUAAACUAUGCCGACUAGGAAUCGGGCGACGUUAUUUUCAUGACUCGCUCGGCGCCUUAUG
rnacentral:rRNA from 2 species